rnacentral:rRNA from 1 species
UACGUAGGGGGCAAGCGUUAUCCGGAUUCACUGGGUUUAAAGGGUGCGUAGGUGGGUCUGUAAGUCAGUGGUGAAAUCUCCAAGCUUAACUUGGAACUGCCGUUGAUACUAUAGAUCUUGAAUGCUGUGGAGGUGAGCGGAAUAUGUCAUGUAGCGGUGAAAUGCUUAGAUAGUGACAUAGAACACCAAUGCGAAGGCAGCUCACUACCCAGAAUAUUGACACUGAGGCACGAAAGCGUGGGGAUCAAACAGG